GAGGAAGGGAGGAACAAGAGCAGAGUAAUACAAGGGAGAAUGUGGCGCUGCCUCAGUGCUCCUGCUGCUAGGUGGUCGUUAGUGCACUGCUCUGACCCUUGGAUUCAUCCUGUGCUUGCACCGCUUCAUCAUCAAAAAUGAAUGUUUAUCCCUACGUUCCCAGGCCUAAUCUCUGUGAAGCCAGAAGCAUCAGAGCCCAGCACCAGAGCCAGAAGCAGCUGCCACGAGGCUUUCUGCAAUCAGUGAACUACAUACAUGUACAAAAUUGGCUAACAGGUUUUCCUUCUGCCCUGUUAUUCAGAAGUCCCCGCUGUCAGGCUUUCUUAGGGAUCUGCUGGCCAGCUGAAUUGGAUAGAUGGCAAGAAGCUGCUUGAGCGUGUACAGAAGUCAUGCAUUCAUCCAUAGACAUCUGCUUUAUUCCUUUGUAGACUCACGCAGCACGACUGCCGGGAGAGUAAGAGAAGGAGGUUGAUGGUUGAGAAUAACUAACUCCUUUCCAGGCUUUUUUCCUCACUCCUUCUAUUACAGACUUUCCUAGACAUCCUACAAGCCACUCUCUGCUGAGAUUUCAUUUUUCCUUGUUGAAAUCUUACCAUCGUAAUCCAUCUGAAAGGAGGAUUUUUUUUUUUUGCCAUUGUCUUGAAGAACUGAAGAGUCUUCCUGUGGACACAACUUGUUUUACUUUACCAGACACAGCCAGGAGAGAUUGCAACUUUCUAAUCCAAGAUGCAAAGUCCCACAGCAAAAACAAUGACUUCUACCUGAAAUAGUAUUUGACAGAUUACAAAACCGAUGCUGAUGCAAAUUACGGAUAAGUAAUGUAAUCAAUGUUAGCACAAAGAGGUCUACAACAAAGCUGUGAAAGGAAUUAUUCCCUCUUACUGUAUUAAACACAGGCCCUUCCAGCUACUGCAGUCUCCUGAAGACCUAAGUUAAGAAUUGUCUAAAAGCAUGUAACUCUCAGAAUGUAUCCUCACACAUGAGAGAUGAUUUGGUGCAUUUCUGCUGUAGAAGCUCGUAAAAAUAGCAUUAAAAGAUAUUUUCAAAAACAGCACUCUUUUUACUGUAAAAAGCAAAUUUUUAAAACAUUUAAUUAAGGUGAUAGAAAUUCACACUUAAUACUCCUGUCUCAAAGAAUCAAAAAGUAGGCAAAAACAUGCAAUAUCAUGUUUUUGGUUAGGUAAACACUGUCGCCUAGAAGCUUGCUCAGAACCAGGAAUCCCAUGACGGAAAAAGUGGUUCAAUAAAAAGGUGAAAAUUGUUCCUCCUUUACAACAUGACGUAUGUACUGACUGUACUGACUUGUUCAGAAAAGCUCUUAAGUAAAGGAAAUCAUACUGAAAACAAAGUACAAGCAUUUGGCAUAAUAUAAGCUUUACUGUAAACCCAGUGAAAGCAAUGAAAAAAUAUAUUGCUCAAAUCAUAUUAACAGCUACCCCUCUACUGCCUCAGAAGUUACAAUAUAUCACCUAUUCUUUCAUGGCUGUAUACCCAUAUGUUUAUGCACUCACGUUUUGUAUAUAUGGAAAAAUAAAGAACUCCAUUUUAUUGCCAAAAAUUUCUGCACACUUUCCAUUCUCUCCUACACUGUUGAGUCAUGCAGAUGAAAGGAUGACAUAGGUACUGUGUUGGGAUCACCACUUUUCCUAUCCACAUGGCAGAUAAAGGGAGGAACACUAAAUGGGGCAUAACUCGGAGCUAAAUUAAAUGGGUUUCUUGAUGUGGGAAAAAUGCUCAUCAGGUACCUUCUUGGUAGAUGAAUGCUAAAUUUUCAGAUAACACUGUGAUGAGUCAUCUCAGCAUGAUUCUGCUCCUACCCUCUAAAACUGGUCUGAGAAGAGUUUGCCAAUGAGUAGCUUGACCACGUUACUUCCUACUUCUUUCAUUUUCUUGGAUGGAAAGAUGAAGACUAUCCUGAUUUAUGUCUGAAAAAUAUCUUGUGCUUCUCACAG
ensembl:lncRNA